UGAAACUACGCACCCAGGUUUUGCAUCGCGUGGCCAAAUGUUUCUUUUCACCGACCCAUUUGUUUCCGCAUAAUACAUAAUGCCACUGCGUGCUUCUAAACACAGUGGGCAAAGAGGUUUUUCGUUUGCAGUAUGAAGUCUGCCCGCUCACCUUUGAUGUUUUUGUUAUGUUUAUUUUUACUUUGGGGCACACUGAGCAGCAACAUGAGCAGUCAACUCCCUGCAAGUUUCACAUAUAUUCAAAAUAUUGACCAGGAAAGAUUCAAUACUGUUUGGAUUGAAAAAGCUCUAGAACAAGUUAAGGCUCAACAGCUUAAGUUGUCCUGUCCCCGAACAGAUGCCACCAGUAAUUAAUCCUCCAAACAAACAAGACCCAGAAUGAUAGCUAAUUCUAUACUACACUGUGUGAAAUGCCCCCUUGAUUGGAGUUGUCAUAAAAGCUUUAAAAAUAAAUACCUAAAACCCCAAAUUGAAAACAGAGUCACAAGAUGGGGUGGCUCCAAACCAAAGGGGCCUCAACCGCAACUAAUAAAGACAAGUGUCUGCCCAAGCCCCCGUUGAUUUCCAACUGUUUUAGACACACAAGGGAAAGCGUGGCUUAUUUCAAAGCAAUGAAAUGCACGGAAUGUGUUGAUCCAAAUGGUCUUGCUCAGAGUGAUCUCAAGCACCCCUUUACUGUGGUUCCACUGUUAGAGUGAGAAAGUUGAAAUAAUACCAUAAACAUGCAGUUAUUUUCUCAAGGAAAACACUUUGGACAUAAUUAUUAUAGAAACUGAUAAUACUGUCAUGAUCGGACCUGGUUGCCCUGCUACAUCACCGUAGCAACACACUGGUGUAGUUCAAGCUUCAUCAAGCUGACUUGUAUGCUGGGGGUGUGUGGGACUUGCCUCUGGAUUAAAGCUGUGUUGGUUCCGGCUGGUCCCUGGAUGAGACCAGAUACUUUGUCUGUGAUGAAAAGCCAGUAAGAUGCCCAUGAUGAAUUUCCCAAAUCUGGAAGUGUUCUGGGAAGUGUUGUUCCUGAUGUAUGUUACUCUGUGCCAACUAGACCUGCAGGACAAUGAUUCAAAGCAUUCCCACAAAUCCAGACAGAAUGGCACACUGACCGCAAUCAAGCUUUUGCAACCCUUUUGAAAACCUGUGGGUUGAGCUACAGAGGUGAGCCCAAAGAAAAGCACCAAGAACUGUAGGAUCUGGAAAAAGUGGUCUCAGAUCCAUUGUUAUUUGUUCUCCUACCUCAUCAAACAUUGCAGGAGAAGACUCAGUUUUGCAAGCAAUGGGAGGUUACAUGUUUUCUAGGUGUUGCCAAUAAUCAUGACAAUGUUUAAAACAUAUCUAGUUACAUUUGUUGUUCGAAGAGGCCAUUCUCUUUGAACAACUUUAUCUCAAAUAAUGGAAGAUUAACAACAACUAACUUUUAAUAACCUUUUUUCUAACCGUGUGCCAAUAAUUAUUGAGGGCACUGUACUAAGCAUAUGAUGUUUGUGAUGCACACAUUUGUGAUUGCCUUAAUCAACAUAGCGGCCAUUGAAACAAUGUGUGUACCUUCAAUUGGCAAGAGGUGACUUGCUCUGAAAAGUUGUUUUUCCUUGAGCUGAGACUAUGCCAUUUGUCUGCCUUACAAAAUAAAAUCUAUAGAAAAUGUUGUAGGUGUAAUCUGCUCGAGACCAACCCAACCCAUGCAUUGCUAUUGGACAUACUGGCUGCUUUCCAGCAGACAUUUUCG